ACCUCCCUCCAGACCACGACAGCUGCACCAAUAGUCCCUCAAGAAGAGCAGGAAGCACAGAAGCACCCAGAACUACAGAGGGUGGAAGUUCUAACCUGCCACCAUGAGCUGUGCUGGAAGAUAAAUCCACAGUUUUCCAGGUUUCAUUGGGGCUAACCAGUGGCAGAGAGAUGCUACACUUCUGUUUGGAUGUGCAUGAGAAUGUGACCAAACAUCUGAGCAAACUUCAGGUGAUCAGACUUCAGGCAUCCUCAUCAUCUGAUGGGACUUGAGAGGUCCCCAGCAGAUUGUUCUGUGCUUUGUGAGGAGGGAGUGCAGGACCUCCAGGAGAGGCAGCAGUGGGGAGAGAUUGCUGAAGCAUUCCAUGGAAUGGUAGAUCCAGCCUUGGCCAGACCUGAGGACC